GAAAGAUCGUCGGUAGAACUAGCACAGCACUGUUUUUCUAUAAUCAAGAUGUUAGGUUUUUUGACCGGACUGACUGCUGGUACUGCCUUUGGCAUCUAUGUGGCCCAGAACUACAAAGUGCCUAAUAUGGCAGUGCUCCUGGGAAAAGCCCGUACUGUGAUAUCAACCUACCAGAAAUCCUCAGAGGAAAGCAAAACAAACGACUCAAACGACAAGGACAAUUGACUGAGACAAUAAUUACUUUUUACACAUUCCAUGUUUCAAUUUUGUUGAACUGAUUUUGAAAACACACAAACUUUCAAGACACAAA